AGAACGGGUAAAGUUACAUGUCCAGUUUGUCUUGUAGAAAGAUAUUUUCGUGUGGCAGAUAUUAGUGAUGACUCCGAUGAAUACAUUUUCAGGGCUGUGACUUUUAAUAAGAGAACUGGUAAAUAUAUGUUGAGAAAUAAUAAUAAGCAUUUAUGUUACACCACAGUAAGUGAUUUAUUUAAGGAAAAAUUGACAGUGUUGGGUCUUAAUGCUAGUGCUUACGGACUUCAUUCGUUCAGGUCAGGAGCAGCUUCGAUUAGUGCGAACAAUAAUACUUGUGAAAGACUGUGGCAGAAAGCUGGAAGAUGGAGAUCAGUUUCCGCUCGUGACGGUUAUGUGCAAGACUCGCUAGAAGCCCGUUUGUCGGUGUCUUUAUUUAGAUUUGUAAAAUUGAAGGACAGUAAAGACAUUUGAAAAGGUGUUGAAAUGUUUAAAUGUACAUCGUAAUAGGAAGUUUGUUUAGUUAAGACAGGUAUAGAAUUUAAAUUGAUUAAAUUGUUUAUUGCAUUAGCGAUUUUUGUUUAUAUACAGAUUCAUGGUAGAGAAAAGAGCUGUUUGCAGAAAAUAAGUUAUGUUGAGUUUUCAGAAUGUUUCUCAGUACAGAAGUUAGCGGAGGAGUCAAAAUUCUGUAUUUAAUAUUGGAGUUUCCAGCAUUUAGCUUGGAUGCGGCAUUCCAGACUUGGAUAGCUUUCCAAAAUAUCAUUUUCGCUAUUUCGAAUAAAGCGAUCGCGAUGUAUCCAUGGAUGAUAGAAUAACGGGGUUUGGUGCUCUCUCUAACAUUAAGGGAUAAUAGAUAUGAUGAAAACUGCUUGUUGUUGAUAGGUAUCAGCCGUUACUAAGCGAUCACGAUGUAUCCAUAGACGAUAGAAUGACGGGGUUUAGUGUUCUCUCAAGCAUCAAGGGAUAAUACAUAUGAAGAAAGCUGCUUGUUGUUUAUAGGUAUCAGCCGUUAUUAAGACAGUAGAGUAGCCGAUCUUUUCAGAAGUUCAUUUCGAGGAUUUUAUGAGGAGUUCAUGACUUGUUUGAUUAGAAUCAAUCUACAGAGCUGCUGAUUGAAGGUAAAAUGUAUCAAACAGGUUAUAUUUUCUCUCUCUUUGUUUUGUCUAGAUAUAUACUGCCAAAUAUGAUUCUCGUUCCUAAAUGGUUUGUGUUUGUUGUCUUUUAUCCAGUAAUGAGAGUUUAGAGAAUAAUUGAUUUACUCUCAACAGAAGGAGAGAGUAAAUAAAAUUAUUCUCGUUACGAAAAUGACUGGGUUUACGGUAUUGGUUUUAGUUCAGUAACUUGCUCGUGUAUUUCAUGCGUUUGUGUAGUGGGGUAUAUAUACCGAGUGUAACUUGUUUUUCACCAUCUAGAGAAGACUAUUUGGCAGUACACAUUUAUUUCUCAUGCCCACCCUUCCCUCCCUGGAAUCGGUUUUUAAACUUUAAAUUUCAAUUGUGAAAUAAUUUUAAGUAGAUAUCUAUACGCAGUCGAAGAAAAUGGGACAGUAUUUUAAUAUAUAUUUUUUAAGGAAGAUGUUUGUAUGAAUGUGUAUAAUGUUUUAUAUAUGAUAAUAGCUUACUUUUCUUUAGGUUUUCUCAAAUCAAGGGAGUACUCUGAAUAGAGCGCGAUUCACAGUUUAUAA